CUGUUUAAAAAGAGAUUAGAAACUUUGGCACAAAUGCUGCACUGCAAACCCUCAGCCACUUUCACUGGUGGAUGCAUAACUUCUCUGACCUUCUGCAGUGUCAGGGCUGCCUUCUAGCUCCAGGUCUGCAUCUUUAACCUUUGUAGUUCUGCUGAAUCUUUCAUCAAUCUGUGUUACAGUCACCUUGGGAAGGAAAAACAGAAGCACUCAGUCAGCACUUACAGGACCUCUCCCUCUAUGUUGUUUCUGACAUAUUCAGCUGAUGAGGACUGAAUGAUACCAUGAUUCACACUGGACGUUUUAAUACUUGUCAGAUCAGGAGGAAAAACAUCUGUUAUGCAGAGUUUACUUUAGAAGAACAUUAUACUAAAGCCUUCAUUUGUAAGUGACAAUAGCGGCCUGACAAAUUGUGAAAUAUCGAUGCAAGUUUUUCUCAUUCAUCAGGAUCACACCAUUCAUUUUUGCCUAUUUCAAAAUGUGACUGUCAAUUGAUACAUUUAUUAAUUUGGCUUUUCUUUUACCUGACCCAUCCUAGAAAGUGAAAUUGUGAAAUGACUAUUAAAACCUCUGUGAUUCACGUUAGAUACUUUGAGAGUUUCAUUGUGAUCAUUAAAUCUAAAACCAAAUGUAAAAGAACAUAUAGGAAUAUUAAAAAAAUAGGGUUUUUUUUAUUUAACAACGAUAUUUUUUGGAACAUUUUGCAACUAUAUUGUCCAAAAUGAUAGCUUUGAAAACUGACAUUCUAGUCUUGUUUUUUUAAUCAGUAGUUUUUCUUGUGUGUGUUCCUAAAAGGUUUUUCUCCCCACUUAUUUAAAGAAAGUUUGGUUUGCCAAGGCAAGUUCAGGAUGGCCACACAUAAAUAUUUGGUUCUUCUUCUGAUUUUGGACAUAUCUGGAUGAAAUUAGUUUUGGUCUCAUUUUUCUUGUCUCAGUGAGUAUACCUGAAACUCCAAAGGA